CUUGAGAUAGCAGAAAGCCAUGAGCUGAUGAGUGGAAAUCCCUGGGCUUUCUAAUUAAUGGAGGUACACAGGCCCGGAGGAUGAGGCGGAUCAGGGAAAUGACAUCAGAGGGGAGAUAGCAUCACUCAUUUCUCCGCUCUAUUGUCACCCUAUGGGAUCGGCUGAAAUGAAUCGCUCGAGCAUCCGCCGAUAGAUUUGAAUGGAGCAUCCCGAUCAAACGACCAAAUCGAGGCUUGGGCAACAGGUGGGGUUCAUCCCUCAAAGCUGCAGGGAUCUUACAAAUGAACAGAGGAGAUUUUGUCGAUACGCCAUAUAAGGAGAAAGGGGAGGGGCUGUGUUUCAGAAAAGAAAACACAAGCCCGAGAAGAGCCUCAAAAUGGAGAGACAAAAAUGACAAGAGCGCAGAGAAAACAAAGAAAAUGAGAAAUAAAAGACGAAGAGAGUAGAAGAUGUGAAGAAGUGUGUUGCUGGGCAGAGGGUUGGCGCUGAACGCAGGGUUGGCAGGCAGGGUGGAGAAGCGGGCACGCUCGCAGACAUCUGUUGGCGCUCUGCGGCUGCUGGAGGGAGGGCGCUUUGCCAUGACCGGCGGGAA